rnacentral:rRNA from 1 species
AGUGAACGCUGGCGGUAGGCCUAACACAUGCAAGUCGAACGGCAGCACAGUAAGAGCUUGCUCUUACGGGUGGCGAGUGGCGGACGGGUGAGGAAUACAUCGGAAUCUACUUUUUCGUGGGGGAUAACGUAGGGAAACUUACGCUAAUACCGCAUACGACCUACGGGUGAAAGCAGGGGAUCUUCGGACCUUGCGCGAUUGAAUGAGCCGGUGCCGGAUUAGCUAGUCGGCGGGGUAAAGGCCCACCAAGGCGACGAUCCGUAGCUGGUCUGAGUGGAUGAUCAGCCCCACUGGAACUUGGACACGGUCCAGACUCCUAGGGGGGGCAGCAGUGGGGAAUAUUGGGCAAAAGGCGGAAGCAUGUUCCAACCAUACCCCGUGGGAUGACGAAGCCUCCGGGUUGUAAAGGCCUUUUUUUUGGAAAGAAAAGCCGCCGGUUUAUAACCUGAUGUUCUGACGGUACCCAAAGAAUAAGCACCGGCUAACUUCGUG